GACGAACGCUGGCGGCGUGCUUAACACAUGCAAGUCGAACGGUAAGGCCCUUCGGGGUACACGAGUGGCGAACGGGUGAGUAACACGUGGGUGAUCUACCCUGCACUUCGGGAUAAGCCUGGGAAACUGGGUCUAAUACCGGAUAGGACCACUGCCUGCAUGGGUGGUGGUGGAAAGCUUUUGCGGUGUGGGAUGGGCCCGCGGCCUAUCAGCUUGUUGGUGGGGUGAUGGCCUACCAAGGCGACGACGGGUAGCCGGCCUGAGAGGGUGACCGGCCACACUGGGACUGAGAUACGGCCCAGACUCCUACGGGAGGCAGCAGUGGGGAAUAUUGCACAAUGGGCGCAAGCCUGAUGCAGCGACGCCGCGUGAGGGAUGACGGCCUUCGGGUUGUAAACCUCUUUCAGCACCGACGAAGCGCAAGUGACGGUAGGUGCAGAAGGAGGACCGGCCAACUACGUGCCAGCAGCCGCGGUAA
rnacentral:rRNA from 1 species